GGGCAGGCAGGAAGGCUGCUGCCAAAGGAUCCUGGGGUCGGGACCCAGAGUAGAGUGUGGGCCUGGGUCCCCUCCUUGCACUUCCACCUGGCCAUUAGGAGUGGCCAUCACAGACUGCACCAGACCCCUGCCAAAAGGGGUUAGACUUUGGGAUGUGGUUGGCCAUUGUGGCUGGGGCAAAGAGAAGGACUGCAGAUAACACCAAACUCCCAGAAGGGGGUGAGACCGGAGCAGUGGGCAUUGCUGGAGGGCAGUGUCCUGAAGAGGACGUCGCAAGCUGGGAGCAACGUGGGUUGAGAUGCUAAUCUAGGGCGAGAGAUGGACAGGACACCACUGGCAGAGGGUGCUCUGCAUGAACUGAGCUAAUUCCCAGAGUGAACAGCAGGAGGCGCUGUGGUGAGAGAGCAGGAAAUGA